AAAGCUUUGAAGGAAGGACGAUCCAAGCACCCAAAAAUGAGCUCCAGUGGAGUACGGCGUGAGCAGUACCUGCUCUCCAUUGGUGUCACCCGUAUUCUUGAUGAGCGCUAUGCUGAGCUCGUGAGUUCUGUCAGCGUACGCCAGAUGUUCGUCACCAACCUGAGAAACCGUCCUUUGAGCCCCAGCCAUGUGGACUCGAUGGAAAAUCUGGUUCUCUCAUUAUACCACAACCUGGUUACGGGGACGAAGGCGUUUCCUUAUAUUGCCUUCAGGGGAUUCUUUAACAAACUGCAGCUGAGGACACCUUUCACCCAUGUGCCAGAGAGUCAGAGGGAGAACAACAUGCCAUCUCCUCCUACCGACUCACCAGCUGGUUUAAUGGUGCUGCCUGCAGGGUCCCACCUCCAUUCACGGUUGCUCACACCUCUACUUCCAGAGAAGGCAGAUCUUUCUGUCCUGAAGGCAGACCGGAGGAACUGCGUCUGCACCCUGCAUGUCGACGGCCGCACCAUCACUAGAGUCAUUUCCACUGUGUACUGCACAGAGGAGAGGGAAAUGACAAAUCGCUGGAGAGUUACAGACUACACCUCUGACGGCACAGUAAUCAUGUCGGUGCUCUGCCAGUUUCUGAAGAGGUUUACACAGGGUGCAAAGAGGAAGCCUGCAGAGGAGGAGAGCAGCAGCAGGAGCCCCCCUCCACCAAGGAAACGUCUCCGGCUGUGAUCAGUAAUGAAGCCUUUCCUGGACAUAUGGCAUAUGGAUGUUACAUAUGGAUGUUUCCUCGUGCUUUGGAGCAAACUUUCGAACUCCUCAUGUCUGUGCUGUGUCUGGAAAGGCUGGAAACACCUCUCCAUCUUACACAGAGACCAUCACCAUCACGGCUCGUCUGAGGAGUUAUUUCUGUACAUAUGUAUAUAGUUUUUUUAAAUUAUUGAGAUACACAGGUCAGCGUUUUCAGUGCGUCUUGCACUUUUCUUUAUUUCUUGGUGCUGGCCUGUUUUUUUUGAUAUGACUGCAAGGAAUAGAAGACUGACUGUAUUAUAUAAUCUGCGCAAAAAUGAACCAAUAAUCCAUGAAGACGGUGCAAAGUGUAAAUUAUCAUCUGCUGCAUCUCAGACAUUGGCGAGAAUGAACAAUGUGGUAAGUAAAAAGUAAAGUUUUGUCUCUAAAAUGAUGUCCCAAAAUAUUAGAAAACAUCUAGUCCAGC
rnacentral:lncRNA from 1 species